GCCGCCGGGUAGCGGAUCCGACAGCCGAGCGGGCUCAUCGCGGGCCCGCUCCUCGCCCCCUUCCCCGGGCACCGCGUGCCACCCGUCUCACCCAUGCCCCAUCCCCGACCCCCUCCGCUUCGGCCAAGUGGAAUAAACGCCCGGGUUUCCGACAAAUAUUCACCCUUCCGACACCGAACGGGAGGCCGCCCCCCUCCCGGCCGGCACCCCUGUCGGAGGCGGGCCGGGGUCCGUCCCCGCGGCCGGCAGCGCUCCCGGCGGCACCGGCCCCCAACUCUCCAUGCUUAUAUAACAGCUCUCAAGAGGAAGCUGCUAACAAGCCCAUCUGAUUGUUUGUGCCAGCUGUUUUAGUGGAGGCAUGCUGGAUGUAACUGAACUCCACCUUCUUUGUUGAGAAAAUCAUGUGGAAAAUGACACAUUCUGAAGAAUAACGGGAAUUCAAGAUCUGGCUCCAAAUUUCCUUGUGAACCAGUCUGCUCCUCUGCAUCUGCAGAAAGGGACAGUGUUUCUCCAUGAUGUGCUUGUUAAAAGACGUGAAAUAUCUGGAAAAAAAUUAGACUUUUUGUGAAAAAAAAGCUACUGAUCAAUAAGCUAUCCAGAAAGCAUCCGGCCUGGAUCUCAGCUGCAAAGGAGAAAAGUUCUUGUGGGUCUUGCCUGGAGAGCUGGCCCUGCUGGACUCACCUUGCCAUGCAGUGGAUUAAAGCUGAGACCCAAGACACCAGCGUGAGGUGAGGAGCCUGGAGAGAAGACAAGGCAAUGAGACCAUGCAAACCAUUCUGAAGCACAGAGCAAAGAGUGAUUAUCUUUUUCUCUGACCCUCUAUCAUAACCAGUGCACAAGAGAAAAAGUGAAAAAAAUUGAAAUUUGUCAAGAAGUGUGCACGCUGUUCACACUGAUCACAAUGUUUCCCCUGGUAAUAUUGCAAGUUUUGCUGAUUCUGCUCUUAGAAAUACAAGCUCUAAGAGAUAACACAACACCUUUAAGUUAUUUUAAUCCCACUUAGCUAGGAUAUGUAUCUUAACUCAUUUU